GACUGAAAUGAAUAAACGUGCAAAUUCCUAAGACAAUUUAGAAAACAAGGAAAAUAUAAACAGGUUUUAAUUACAAGUCAGCGCAAAAGAGAAUGGACCAAAAGCGGAAAUUAACCAUUUAAAGAUAAUGUGCGCAUAGACCAAGUUAAAAUGCCUUCUGUUCCUUUCCCCAAUACUGUUUUAUUUUAUUACUAAAAUUUAAAACCUAUUUCAAAAUCCCUUUUUUUCCUUAAAAAAGCAUUUUAACUUUGUUUUUUUUUAAAAAAAAACUUAGAACUUGAAAACUUUCCCCUUCUCCCCUUGUUUCCUGCCGAAAGGCUAAUAACCAAGCCUUCAACCGCCGCCGAGACCAACUGCGACGGUCGGAGCAGGGCCUUCCAGUGGCGCGAGCGCGACGUAACUCCGGUCACGAAGACGUGGAGGGAGAACAGGCGUGGGAAGUGCUACACGCGGGCUGGGGCGGACGUGUGAGGUGGAGUGUGUGGUGACUACCGGUGGCUGCGCAUGGAGUAGCCUAGGGUUUCUUAUCUUCCUUAUUUUGCUGGAAAAUUUUAAACUUUUGGGUUUGUAAUUUUGGGCUAAGGUUUGGGGGUUUUUUAUUGGGCCUAUCUGGGUUUUAUUUUCUGUUUAUUUAUUUGUGGGUCUUGAGCCAGGCAAAAAUUUGGUUUUACAAUUUUAUUUUUUAAUUAUUUUAAA